AGCAUCAAAGUCUUUUCCAAUGAGUCAACUCUUCGCAUGAGGUGGCCAAAGUACUGGAGUUUCAGCUUUAGUAUCAUUCCUUCCAAAGAAAUCCCAGGGCUGAUCUCCUUCAGAAUGGACUGGUUGGAUCUCCUUGCAGUCCAAGGGACUCUCAAGAGUCUCCAUUACCAAAUGUCUCCAAACAAGGUACAGACGUGCCAGACAGAACUUUUCCUGCCAACUAUCAGUGGCAGGCAUAUUGACCCAUUUCUGCUUUGGAGGAUCAUUUUGCUCUCAUCUCUAAAAUUUUCCAUUUGACAAGCUGCUUUACGUGAUUUAUUUCUACAUUUUCAUUGUGAAUUAUAUUUACACGAGACUACCAUACAUGCGAAGAGUUGACUCAUUGGAAAAGACUCUGAUGCUGGGAGGGAUUGGGGGCCGGAGGAGAAGGGGACGACCGAGGAUGAGAUGGCUGGAUGACAUCACUGACUCCAUGGACGUGAGUCUGAGUGAACUCCGGGAGUUGAUGAUGGACAGGGAGGUCUGGCGUGCUGCGAUUCAUGGGGUUGCAAAGAGUUGGACACGACUGAGCGACUGAACUGAACUGAACUGAACCGAACCAUACAUUUAGGGCUUCCCUUGUGGCCCAGCUGGUAAAGAAUCCACCUGCAAUGCAGAAGAUCUGGGUUCAAUCCCUGGGUUGGGAAGAUCCCCUGGAGAAGGGAAGGGCUACCUGCUCCAGUAUUCUGGUCUGGAGAAUUCCAUAGACUAAAGGGGUUGCAAAAAGUUGGACAUGACUGAGCGACUUCCACUUUCAGCAUACAUUUAGGACUUCCCAGGUGGUGCUAGUGGUAAAGAACCUGCCAGCAAUGCAGGAGACAUGAGACAUGGGUUCAAUCCCUGGGUUGGGAAGAUCCCCUAGAGGAAGGCAUGGCAACCCACUCCAGUAUUCUUGUCUGGAGAUUCCCAUGGACAGAGGAGCCUAGUGGGUUGUGGGGUUGCAAGGAACUGGACAGGACUGAAGUGACUUAGCAUGCAUACAUGCACCUUACAUUUAGGCAGAUCUACCCACACAGACCAGUUCUCACCAUAAAGCUCCUUGCCUCAACUCAUUUUGUACUUAUACCAACAUCACACUUAUUUAUUGAUCUAUUUAACAGAUAUUCACUGAGAAGGUACCAUGCACUGAAUUAAAUAUUUAAGUAUGGUAGUGUAUUUCUCAUGCUACUAACUUAUUUAACAGAUACUAGAAAACAUUUACCCACAAUAAGCCAGUCUGGUGGAAAUUUCAUCAAGGAAGAGUUGCCCAUAAGACUCUUACUACUAGGACUUCCCUGCCACUUCAGUGGUUAAGACUCUGAGCUCCCAAUGCAGGGGGCUCCAGGCUUGAUCCCUGGUCAGGAAACUAGAUCCUGCAUGCCACAGCAAAGAUCCUGCGUGCUGCAACUUAGACCCAGUGCAGCCAAAUAAAUUUAAAAAGAAAAGAACAAGACUUACUACUUUUAGUGAUGUUAGUAUGUGGUGUUGGCCCCCGAAAGAGUAACAAUCUAUGGGGUUACAGCCUGAAUGUACCUACUUUUCAUUGCCACAAAACUGGGCAUAUUGUUUGUGACAAAUAGCCCCAACUCAGUUUAUCAGAUAUUUAUUGAAAAUCUACCAAAUAUUUAUUAAGCAUCUUCUGUGUAGAAGGCAUGAUCCCUUUCCAAGUUGCCACAGGAAAGAACUAUUACUGAUGUUUUACUACAGACAAGUUUUGGUCUGUAAUAAAUUGGUCAGACCACCGAGGUCUGAGCUAAAGCAUUCUAAUUUCCUGGGAAGCCAUACCUGCCUUGACCAUGCCUGGAUGAUUUGGUGGGGGGUAGGGGUGCUGAGUUCCCUGUGAAUAAAUGCAUUGUUUAUUAUAUCCAGGUUUCACCCUGUGUAGAAUAAAGAAAUGGAGGCUUUUUUUUUUUUUUUUUAAAUGAAAGGAGUUAUUCACUUACUAAUGGUCCAAUGAGAUUUGGGGAAUGUCUACUUUCUGAUUCCUUUCUGGUGGAAAGUCAAGAAGAUAUACGUGGGAUGAUUACAGUUUGAAUUAAUAUUCAGAUGCACUUCAGGGCCUUCUUCCCAUCCGUUCCCCCGCUGCCGCAUGCCCCUCCUCUAAGAGCCCACUAGUCGUUCAGCAAAAUGGGAAAUGGUGCGCCUCUGCCGGCCCUCUUCGGAGGUCAGGAUCCACUCAGUGGUUUUGACCCAUUUCUCAGCUUUUGAAGGUUGCAACAGCUUUUGUUUGCUGUCCAGAGUUUCCAGCCCCCUCCCCACCCCCACCCCCGCAAAACUCUGAGUAAGUAAUACAGCUUAACUGUGGGGCAUGUGGCCAGUGCUGAGCUGGGGAGGGAGGGGUGGAAUUGUGGGGAUGUGGCCAGGAGGAAAUAGGAGCAAAUUCCUCCGAAACGAUCUGACAGGAAAUGACAGAGCACCGGCCUGCUACCACCCCACUCGCAGAGGGAGCGAGCCUCCGAGAGGGGAGAAGUCCUUCCUAAUCACAGAGCAGUGCCAGAGCGCAGUAGGUGAGGAUGAUGAAAUAAUAAAGCAUUUCCCGUGUGUGUUUUUCAUUAGGCCUGUUUUGUUUUUCUUCCAAGUGCUGGGGAAACAGAACAGAAGCCCCGCUUCCAGCGGCACCACAGCAGCCGCCUCCCGUGGGAAUAGCAGCUGAGCACAGAGGAGGGGAGCCCUGGGUGGAACUGGUUCUAACACCUUCCUAAUGGAAAUAGUGAUUUGCAAAGCCCUCUUUAUACCCUUUGAUACAUAAUUAGUAGCCCAAAGAGCAAAAGAUUAAAUAAAAAUGCUCCCCCAGCUUUUUGGAAAUUUGGCAAAACAUUAGCUGCUCCCUUCUGAGAGCCAAAUAGGGUAGAGGUCUUUGUAGGGACCCGGUUUGGCUGGUCCAGACUGGCCCUUGAAUCACUCAACACUUAUUACAUAGAAAUUAACUGGCUCGAUGUCAAUUAGAGAGAAUUUGUUAGCAGACAUACCCAACGGGACCUCUUUCUUACCCAAUUUGGUAGUUUCUGUAAGAAAAUAUUGAAAUACCUUUCAUCCAAGCUAACUGAGUGUUAGACAACACAAGUUGUGUCAGCCUCCUUUAUGGUGUGUGUGUGUGUGUGUGUGUGUGUGUGUGUGUGUGUGUGUGUGUUCAGGGCCAGGGCUGAGCAUCAAUUUUUACCCAUCUCACAGAGAAGAUAAUUAAGAGGAUGCUCAAAAGGAGGCUGGCUGGAAAAUUCUCUCUAGCCCUAAGAAAUAACCAAUCCAAAAUGCCUGUUGUUAAAUGGGUCAUAAAGGCCCUGGGAAAUCAAUAUUUGACUUUCUCUUUCAGGAAUGGUGGCUGCUACAUGCAGUUUUAGAUCAAUCUGCUAUAGUCAUGCUGCCUUGAGACCCAAAUAAUUCCUCUGUUAACUCUGGACACUCCGAAGGUAGAAAUGUCACUUGUCCAUCUUUUUAGAAAAUAGUUCUACUUGCUCCACCCCUUCCACCCCAUCCCUGGACAACUCAUGUAAAAUCAACUGUGAGAUAAAUAAAAUAAGGAGUCAUUUUAUUAAAGAUCUAGGAAAAGUGCUCAGGUGAUCUGAAAAUGUAAUUAAACCUCUAAAUAAGCGGAUUACUGGCUGAAAAGUGAGAUUGAUAGAUGAACCCCUUCAGCUAGAAAGGAUUGCUUAAUGGACUGAACAACAAUCUUGGACUCUCUCCACCUUGGAAUCGCAGGUCCGGAAUCGGGCAGGCUCCACGCCACCACCUCCCCUCCUAAGACAAAUGAAGUUCCAGGAGGCUGCUGUGAGGAGAGCCCAGAGCGGAGACCCCAGGCUGCAUGUGGACUCACAGAUGUGCCACUCGCCUCGUAAAAAUAGCCAAAGACACCCCGAGCACUGUUUCUGGGGGCUCCUCCUGGCUUAUCAUCCAAAAGGCCUGAAGACCUUGGUAGUUUCAAAAGGUCAAAUUUACUUCUGACUUUUAGAAAAGGAGAUAUUAAUGGCAAAAUGAAGAGCUGAAAAUGAAGUUAAAAGCUUUGGUUGGACAAAAUAAGCUAAAAUAAUGAAGAAUUACCAUCAAGAGGGAGAGACAGAGAAUUCUUUCUUCCUCACUGGCGAACAGGACAAACAUUCUGACUCCUUUUAUUCUGAAGGCGGUCUUGGUGUGAAAUUUUGGUAACAUAAAAUUUGUCCCCAAUUCUAUGAAGUUGAUAUAUUCCAAGUUUAAAUUUUAGAAUAUUUUGGAUUUAUCCUCUUGGUUUUCUGCUUUGUUUAAUUUAUAAGCUGAAAUUAAAGGAGCCGUUCUUUGUAGAACUUCAUAACAUUUCCAGAAACUGGCAGAGUCAAAACAUAAUGUCUUCUGUUUGAUAGUGAUAGGGAUUCCGUAACCUACAUGAGCCAUUCAAUUUAUCAUAAGAUAGCAGCCGUCCUGACUCUGGAGCAGAUGGACAAACAUGAAGCUAUGUUAGUUUGCUGCUAUUGGUCACCUAGGUCUCUUUGCUCUCAGGGCUAAAGAUCAGUCUUAAAGCUAACGUCUCAUUGGUAAACUAACUCUCAGGAUGAUUCAGUCUGCAACAUUUACUGUCAGUCCAGAGAAGGUAGCCUAGUGGUUACCCCUUGAUGAAACCCAAGUAUCUAACCGAGUUUUGCAGAACAAAUCAUCACUGUUUCUCAAACCAUGAAAGGUAGAAUUCUGUCCUCUUCUCACUUUUGGAAGAGGGCAAGGGUAGAGUCCUUAUUCUUGUCUAAAUCCAUGAGGGGUAUAUCCUGGAGGUCCAUGACCACUCGUGGAGUUUAGGUAGUGAAAAAAUUGCACUUUCCUUCUUGGUGAUGACACAUGUCGUGAAAAAAAUAAACCUAAAACAUACAGGUCAUUUUACAAUUACAGAUUCAACCUAGGAUAGAGUAAAGGAUUACUUUGAUUUUAAAGUCAAUUUAUCCUCCUGGAGCUCAUCAUCAAGUAAAUUAGUAUUUCCCAGAGCACACCAGUCUCCUUGGAUUGAAGUAACUCACCCAUUUCAUUUGAUUCCCCAGAUACUCAUUUGUUUUCAUUUUGGUUCCAUGUUCUUUUUCUUAUUUCCUUACGAACUCUGGGAGAAUGACUUCACAUGUGGUCAGUUUCCAGACUGCGUACUUCCCUGGUGGUUCAGAUGGCAAAGAACCUGCCUGCAGUACAGGAGAUCCGGGUUCAAUCCGUGAGUCAGGAAGAUCCCCUGGAAAAGGGAAUGGCAACCCACUCCAGAAUUCUAGCCUGAAGAAUUCCAUGGACAGAGGAGCCUGGUGGGCUACAGUUCAUGGAGUCACAAAGAGUCAGACACGACUGAGCAACUAACACUUUCACUUUCACAGGAGUCUGUGUCUUAACUUAAUAACUUCUAACCCAGAGAUGAGGCCCAUGCCUGGAGCUGAGGCCAGACGUGGACGGCUCACAGGAUCCACAAGGGAGCUGCUUGUGCAGGGCUCACUCUCGACUCCGUGCCACGGCUCCGCAAACCAACAUGUCUAAAUCAGCUUUCCAGGGCUGCAUUACAAGGUUACGUGGGCAAAGCAGGGAGUGACCAGGGGAGGCAAUGUUUAGCCUGAAUUAGCUAUUUACUGGAGCUGAACAUGGAGUGGAAGAAGUGAGCUACACAGUGUCUGUCUUGAGCCAACUUCCAACACGAGGGCACUGAGCCCAGAGGUGGCCCGACAGUGUUUCAUCUUCUUAUUAUUGUGAAUUAAAGACUCCCGCAGAAGUCCUUCAUCUGGAAAAUGUCUCGAGGGAGUCUUCAAGUUCAAGAAAGGUAUUUCCAAGAAGAUGUAGGAAUAAAGACAAGCAGAUGCUGACCGGAAAGGCCUCUCUUUCUGUGUGAGCAGUCGGGGGUCAGAAUGAUGAGACUUCCUCACCCCUAUCUCCUUCUCCCCCAGUCGGCCUUGGGCUGUAUCCUUGCUGAUUAGCAUGACUGCCAGAGAGUACCCGGAGGAAAACUUGAACAGCAAUAUUCCUCGUGGGACAAUUAGUGGAAAAUGAUCAUUUGUUGUGAUUAUUAGAAAAAGGGCUAACGGUGAAAGACGUUUCUGAUGAUCUAAAAUCACAAAGCCUGCAGGAGCCUGUUGUUUUCCCUUCCUACCACUCCAAUUUUCCAGCAUUUUCUAUUGCCAGCAUUCUCUGGCAGCGUAGACAUGAAGGACCAACCCCCAGGCAGUAGAAGGCAGAUAAAAGGAUGAGGAGCUGGCCAAGGAAGGUCACGGUGCAGGGAACUAAAAAAUGGAAUCUUACCAAGGGUCAGUGUGUGGCACGCAGGGGAUUCCGGUGCAGGUGAGUGAUGGACUUGGGUGGAAGAGAAGAUGAAGUGGGCAACCCAGACGCAGAGGAGCCUCAGCCCAUCUCCUCCCUGUCUAUGGGGUUCGGGGCCUGCACCCCUCCUCUUCCUGUCCGUCAUAGGCUGAGUGCUUCCCCAAGGAAUCGGGGAAUGAGAACAGGAUGUGUGUAACCCCCAAGGGAAUCUGAAACAAAAGCAAAACAAGAAAAGAAACUUCCCUUCAUGUGCCCUUCACCAGAAGGGCGUUCAUUCUGAGAAACAGAGAGAGUUCUUUUAAAAUGGUGUUUCCUUGGCCUGUGAGAGGGACCUAGUUAGUGAAUUCUCAGAAGCCAUGAUAAAAGAAGAGUCUUGGGAUUAUGACAACUUGUACGUAUCCUUGGUAUUAACCAUGAAAGGAAAUGUCAACCAUUAGAAAAUUCUCCAAAAUAGGUUAUACUGGUACAGAGGGGAGAACAGUAUUCAUUUUUUAAAAAGGAGCUACACGCCUACCCUUUGCACCACCCCUAAGAUGCAGCCUGUGGGUCUCAAGCGUUUCAAAGCAACCCAUUGACUGUGUGGGCAUUUACAGAGCCUUGGUGGGCGCCUAGGACUACGCUAGGUGUGUCUCUGCAUGACUGUUAAGGGAAGGCUUUUUUCACUACCAAAGUCUUCACACUGGGGAUGGAGCUAGUGGGGUCAGGAGUGGUUUUCAAGAGUCAGACAUGACUCGGCAACUAAACCACACCGAGCUUACUUGGGAAUUUAAUGUCUUAGUCCUUGACGUGAGGUGGGAAAACUGUUUUCUGUACAUUCCAAAAGCCAGCAUUUCAGAAGGUUGAGGGCAUCUCAGGUAUGGAAGAAGUCAUGGGGCUUUCAGGCAACGUGCAGCCCAUUGCAGGCCCAAACCUAAGGCUUGGUGGAGAACUAGACUGCGUUAAGCAAGGGGACCAUUGUGCAAGUGCCAAGUUUCUUGCAACUUCCGAUGGAUUUGGACUGAGGAGUAGAGACAGACACAGAGCAAAAUGAGCUGAGUUGGGAAAGGGGAAAAUGGAUUCAGAAUGUAAAAGCAGGGUUCUCUGAUGGGCUCAGGAACUGACACAUGGAAAAUGCAAUGCCUUAUUGACAAACACGUAUGCUGGCUGCAACAAUAAUUAACACAAGCAGAAAAGAAAUAGGAAUGAAAUGGAGCAGAAAGACUUUGAGGGAAUGGGACGUGGCCGCUGAAAUUGCCAAGCUAAUGUCAGAGAGAUGAUUAAAAUUUUCCGAUAGAACAGGUGAGUAGGUAGUUAGGCGAGUGGGAUGUAAACCAAGAGAGAGUGGAUCGUUCUACGAAUCUGCACUGAGGUAGUAAUCAGCAUUUUAUGUGAAACUUUGCAGUGCACAUUUCAGCAGAUGGAGGAAGGUUUAAAAGCUGAUAGCUAAACCGAGUCUGACUGUCUUUCUGUUCCAUAAUAACCGUCCUUGGAAUGGGUGCUUGCUCCAAGUGAGCACUGCGGGACCAGUUCUCUGAACAGAGUUCCAGACAUCUCAAUAUGCUUACAAAGGCCAGUUUCUGCAAAACUCCAGGAUGGAGGGAGAGGAAGUGGAGCAGUGGGGGGUCUUGAUCUUCCUGAGUAGAGGUGCCUGGAUGAAUAGGUUCUAAACAGAAAAACUGGAGGCUCACUAAUCGGAACUUAAAGUGAAGAUCAAGGAGCAACGAGAAGAAACUCCUCUGCAGGCCAAGCUGUACGCGUGCACUCAGGCACGCACGCGUGCAUUCCUGUGAAAACUGUAUUGCUGCCAUAACAAAAACAAUUAGAUGGUGGAUUGUGGGCAUGUUAAAGGGGAAUAAUUCUUCAUGAUCAGAAUGACUUUUUCGCUCAUUCAACAGAAAAAGACUCUUAUUUUUUAUUUGUUGGCAAAGCCAAAUUAGAAAAAAUAUAUAUCUUUACGACCCUGGGAGACAAAUGAGUGAUACCAAAUAUCACUAAAAAUGCUAUUAAUCUACAGUGAUAUAAAAUUACCAUCUCAGCACAAAGAAAGCCUAUAUAAUCUGAAUUUCUCUAGCAUCAUAAAAACGAAUGAGAAGCGAAAUUGAGAGUAAGUAUGCUUUUGAGAUGCCGUUAAGAGUUACAUGCAUUGUUAACAAAUGUGGCUAGGCGGGGUGGUGAUUUACCUUGAGAAGCAAAUCUAUAGAGACACAGAAGAUUUCCAAAUGAGACCAACUCAUUGCCCAACUCGUGGGUUGAUGAAACCUUUGGGGGUGUCAUUCUCCUUUCUUGGGUAUUUAAGUGUAGCUGACCAGUUGUUGACUUUAGGGAUUAUUUCCCUCUGUUUUCAUUUGCUUAUUUCCUGCACAUUUCAGAAGCCAAAAGUAGCUUUGGGUGGGGUGAGGGAGUAACAGGAAAGGGAAUACAGGCCAGGGGUUUCUGCUUCAGGCACCAGAGGACCCUGAGUGACACUGCUGGGUGACCAGUGAGGACCACGAAGCACUGAUGGCUCCAUCACUAGACUACCCUCCCCGAAUCUGAACAAAGCCAACCCUCUGUUACUCAUCCACUGUCUCGUGGCCCAUCUGGGGGUGCAGAAUAUCAGCCCAAAUUCUGGGAUGCUUCACAAGCCUUUGGAAGAACUGGAAGAGGGAAAUAGCCAGGUCAGAAAUCCAACAGGAAGUAGAGGGUAGUGGCAUUGGGCUAAUGAUGGGGUGGGCGGCUAAUGAGGAUACGGAAAGGAAGGGCUGUGUGCCAUGCGCUCAGUCGUGUCCAACUCUUUUCAACCCCAUGGACUGUAGCCCUUCAGGCUCCUCUGUCUGCAGAAUUUUCCAGGCAAAAAUACUGGGGUGAGUUGCCAUUUCUUCCUCCAGGGGAUCUUUCUGACCCAGAGAUCGAAGCCAUAUCUCCUGGGUCUCCUGCCUUGGCAGGCAGAUUCUUUACCCUCUGGACCACGAGGGAAGUGGUGUUGGGCUAAUGAUGGGGUGGGAGGCUAAUGAGGAUACGGAAAGGAAGGGCUGAGUAACGUAAAAAGGCAGAGCAAUGGAAAACAGGAGGGAAAUGAGUGUUUCUACUUCUUCCAUAUAUAUAAAAAGAAAAAAGGAAACCUACCACCACCACAACCAACACCACCACUCUGGGGAAAUUUAGAAAGAGACGUGUGACGGUUUUCAGUUGGUCUCAAGGGUGGCGUGGGGACAGCGUGUUUAGGUGGUAAAGCUUGACCAAGAUGCUACCAGUAACCUCAGUUUCCUGCCAGCCAGAGGAAUGUGCAAGGAGUGAGUAUGCAUGUGUGUGAGUUCAGUCACUCAGUCGUGUCUGACUCUGCAAACCUAUGGACUGUAGCCUGCCAGGCUCCUCCAUCCAUGAAAUUCUCCAGGCAUGGAAACUGAAGUGGGUUGCCAUUUUCUACUCCAGAGGUUCUUCCUGACCGAGGAAUCACGCCCCUGUCUCCUGCAUCUCCCGUACUGGCAGGCAGAUUCUUUAUUACUGC
ensembl:lncRNA